rnacentral:rRNA from 1 species
UACAGAGGUGGCAAGCGUUGUUCGGAAUUACUGGGCGUAAAGGGCGCGUAGGCGGCCUUCUAAGUCAGACGUGAAAUCCCCAGGCUUAACUUGGGAACUGCCUUUGAUACUGAGGAUCUUGAGUCCGGGAGAGGUGAGUGGAACUCCGAGUGUAGAGGUGAAAUUCGUAGAUAUUCGCAAGAACACCAGUGGCGAAGGCGGCUCACUGGCCCGGUACUGACGCUGAGGUGCGAAAGCGUGGGGAGCAAACAGG